rnacentral:lncRNA from 1 species
AAGGGGAGUACCUCCCAGCCUCGCCUCCCCUGCCCACCAAUUCCCCUCUACCUAAGGCAGCAGCGCUCAGAAGCCGAGGGACAGGGACGUAGGAUGUCUGGUCUGAAUGGGGAGUUCAAAAGCCCUCUGCUGUGGCCUGAACUGCCUCAGGGAGUUCCAUUGCCUUCAAUGCAACAGAUGUCUAGGUCUUGGCAGGGUCUAGUUGGGGGACUGCUUCUGAGCCAUGCAGAACCCACUCUGGGGUGGGGUGGGGGGCCCUAAGCACUACCGUUUCCCUGCCUAGGUGGCUCCAGAAGGAGGAAGGGUCCACCCAGCGUUGGGAAAGGGCUGCCUGUGAAAGUGAGGCCCCCUCUGUCCCCUCCAUUGGCUUCCUGCCCAGGUCGAGGGGAGAAUUCAAGGCCCCUUGGGCAUCUGCCCUUGGGUUCUUGAAGGGACUAAAGUUGGUGCCUAGACGCCUGACUUGGGGGUGUUCCCCAGCGUGGCAUGCCUCAGGCGACAGAGGCCAGGGUCUCUAGGGCAGAGCCACAAUCCACACUGAAUAGGACCCCGUAA